UCCCUUCAGCUUCCACUCGCUUUUUCU
rnacentral:sRNA from 1 species